GCCACCAUAGUGCAGUGGUUUGAGUGUUGGACUAGAAAUCUGGGAGACCAGGGUUCGAAUCCCCAUUUGGCC